rnacentral:tRNA from 1 species
GGGCUAUAGCUCAACUGGCAGAGCGCCCGUCUGCGGAGCGGGGAGGUUGCGGGUUCGAGUCCCGUUAGCUCCA